AGAAAAUGAUGCCCAGGUUGGGCUCCCCGGCCCACCGGCCGAGGAGAGGCCUGCGCUGCACACGCGCAGACCGAGCAUCCGCGUCAAGAGGCGAAGAGAGCGCGCGCUCCCCACGUCCUGCGCGCCUGGCUGCCAGGCAUUCGUCUCAGCCGUGACUCUCGCCAGGCCGGGGCUGGCGCGCGCCCACGUCUGAAGAGCGAUGCCCCGGGAGAUCAUCACCCUGCAGCUGGGCCAGUGCGGCAACCAGAGUGAGCAAGCGAGCGCCGGCCCCGCCGGUCUCUGGUUCUGCCCCUUCGGGUCCCACCCAAGUGCCUGUCUUCCACCAGUCCCCCUUUCCCUUCCAUGAACCCCCUGCCCUGCUGCUCUGGAUAACCCAGACCGAGAGCUGCGCCUCCAGCCCGGGGCUGGGGCAGCUACCAGACCCAGGCAUCUUGGGUCCACCCUCUGAUCGUGUCAGCCUCUGAGACUAAAACUGGGCUCCUCAGGCCUUAAGGCUCCAGCAGACCCGGGCAUCUCCCCCCUCCCCCAGUUGGGUUCGAGUUCUGGAAACAGCUGUGCGCCGAGCAUGGUAUCAGCCCCGAGGGCAUCGUGGAGGAGUUCGCCACCGAGGGCACUGACCGCAAGGACGUCUUUUUCUACCAGGCAGACGAUGAGCACUACAUCCCCCGGGCGGUGCUGCUGGACCUGGAACCCCGGGUGAUCCACUCCAUCCUCAACUCCCCCUAUGCCAAGCUCUACAAUCCAGAGAACAUCUACCUGUCGGAACAUGGAGGAGGAGCUGGCAACAACUGGGCCAGCGGAUUCUCCCAGGGUGAGAAAAUUCAUGAAGACAUCUUUGACAUCAUAGACCGAGAAGCAGAUGGAAGUGACAGUUUAGAGGUACCCCAAGAAGCUAGUGCAGACUUACUCAGUGUUUCCCUACCAGGACGAGAUGAGCGACGUGGUGGUUCAGCCCUACAAUUCACUCCUGACACUCAAGAGACUGACGCAGAACGCAGACUGUGUGGUGGUGCUGGACAACACAGCCCUGAACCGGAUUGCCACAGACCGCCUGCACAUCCAGAACCCGUCCUUCUCCCAGAUCAACCAGCUGGUGUCCACCAUCAUGUCGGCCAGCACCACCACCCUGCGCUACCCUGGCUACAUGAACAAUGACCUCAUCGGCCUCAUCGCCUCGCUCAUUCCCACCCCACGGCUCCACUUCCUCAUGACCGGCUACACCCCGCUCACUACGGACCAGUCAGUGGCCAGUGUGAGGAAGACCACGGUCCUGGAUGUCAUGAGGCGGCUGCUGCAGCCCAAGAACGUGAUGGUGUCCACAGGCCGAGACCGCCAGACCAACCACUGCUACAUCGCCAUCCUCAACAUCAUCCAGGGAGAGGUGGACCCCACCCAGGUCCACAAGAGCCUGCAGAGGAUCCGGGAACGGAAGUUGGCCAACUUCAUCCCGUGGGGCCCCGCCAGCAUCCAGGUGGCCCUGUCGAGGAAGUCUCCCUACCUGCCCUCGGCCCACCGGGUCAGCGGGCUCAUGAUGGCCAACCACACCAGCAUCUCCUCGCUCUUUGAAAGUUCCUGCCAGCAGUUUGACAAGCUGCGGAAGCGGGAUGCCUUCCUCGAGCAAUUCCGUAAGGAGGACAUGUUCAAGGACAACUUUGAUGAGAUGGACAGGUCUAGGGAGGUUGUUCAGGAGCUCAUUGAUGAGUACCAUGCGGCCACCGAGCCAGACUACAUUUCCUGGGGCACCCAGGAGCAGUGAUUUCCCUCCCCACUACUCCUUC
rnacentral:sRNA from 1 species